rnacentral:rRNA from 1 species
AGUGAACGCUGGCGGUAGGCCUAACACAUGCAAGUCGAACGGCAGCACAGGAGAGCUUGCUCUCUGGGUGGCGAGUGGCGGACGGGUGAGGAAUACAUCGGAAUCUACUCUGUCGGGGGGGAUAACGUAGGGAAACUUACGCUAAUACCGCAUACGACCUACGGGUGAAAGCAGGGGAUCUUCGGACCUUGCGCGAUUGAAUGAGCCGAUGUCGGAUUAGCUAGUUGGCGGGGUAAAGGCCCACCAAGGCGACGAUCCGUAGCUGGUCUGAGAGGAUGAUCAGCCACACUGGAACUGAGACACGGUCCAGACUCCUACGGGAGGCAGCAGUGGGGAAUAUUGGACAAUGGGCGCAAGCCUGAUCCAGCCAUACCGCGUGGGUGAAGAAGGCCUUCGGGUUGUAAAGCCCUUUUGUUGGGAAAGAAAUCCAGCUGGCUAAUACCCGGUUGGGAUGACGGUACCCAAAGAAUAAGCACCGGCUAACUUCGUGCCAGCAGCCGCGGUAA